AAUUAACUCAAUGGUUUGUCUCCUGAAACUCUAGGCCUUCCUUGCAAGAGCACUCCACUUCCUGUUAUGCACAAUGGCAAAGCUGACUGGAACUGCCCAGAGGAAGAACAAGUGGAAGAACUUGAAGUCUUGGGAGUGUGAAGUCUCGGAAGGCUGCAGCUUUCUUACAACCAUGAGGGGAGACUUUAUCUAAGAAUGAGGCCAACAUGUGGAAGAGAGAGAAAAUGAGGUGAGACCUGGUGCUGGAAAUGUCUCUGGGCACCUGCGUCAAGCAACAGGGGAAUAAGGUAUUCAAGUGAAAAAAAGGAAACCAUCC
rnacentral:lncRNA from 1 species